CCUCCGCCCGCUGCGGUCCCCAACGGCAUCGGCUCGUGCGAGCUCCGGCGGCUGAAGAGCCGACGCCGGCGGGUCCUGGGGGGCUGCGGAGAGCCCGGCGUCCGCCCCGCGGGAGAGGGGUCCAUCUUUCCCGUUUCCAGCCUGGAUAUUGAAGAGAGCCCAGGGCGUUCAGGAGCUGCUGCUUUCCUCGUCUGCCAUGCGGCCAGCCCGCUGGAGUGCUGCCUCCUGCACCAAGAGCCCUUCUCCGGGAUGAGACCCGUGUGGCAGCUGCCGGGGAACCGGCCGUCUGGCUGAGCAGCUGCCGUCGUCCUGUGCCCCAGGAGAAGCGGCCGCAGUGACUGUCUGCUGGGAGAGCCCUGAAGAACCCUGGGCAGCCAAUGCCUGGAUAUUGAAGACAGCCCAGGGCGUUCAGGAGCUGCUGCUUUCCUCCUCUGCCGAGUGGCCAGCCCGCUGGAGUGCUGCCUCCUGCACCAAGAGCCCUUCUCCGGGAUGAGACCCGUGUGGCAGCUGCCGGGGAAGCGGCCGUCUGGCUGAGCAGCCGCCGUCGUCCUGUGCCCCAGGAGAAGCGGCCGCAGUGACUGUCUGCUGGGAGAGCCCUGAAGAACCCUGGGCAGCCAAUGGCCUUUCCUUCCUGUAUGUCUGCUUUUGCCCAUCAGCCGGGCUUUUGUUCGCCCUUGUCUGGGGGCGAGCGGUGGCAGAGCCAGUCCCCGGCAGCACAGAGCACGGAGGAGGGAAAGGCGCUGCGGGACGCGGCAUGAGCGGCGGCAGCUUCCUGAGCCUCGGCGCUUCUCUGCAGGAGCCCCCUGUGCCCGGCUCCGAGGGACGGGCGGCCCCUGAGCUCAGCGACGGCGCAGCAGCAGGGUCCAUCUUUCCCGUUUCCAGCCUGGAUAUUGAAGACAGCCCAGGGCGUUCAGGAGCUGCUGCUUUCCUCCUCUGCCGUGUGGCCAGCCCGCUGGAGUGCUGCCUCCUGCACCAAGAGCCCUUCUCCGGGAUGAGACCCGUGUGGCAGCUGCCGGGGAAGCGGCCGUCUGGCUGAGCAGCCGCCGUCGUCCUGUGCCCCAGGAGAAGCGGCCGCAGUGACUGUCUGCUGGGAGAGCCCUGAAGAACCCUGGGCAGCCAAUGGCCUUUCCUUCCUGUAUGUCUGCUUUUGCCCAUCACCCGGGCUUUUGUCCGCCCUUGUCUGGGGGCGAGCGGUGGCAGAGCCAGUCCCCGGCAGCACAGAGCACGGAGGAGGGAAAGGCGCUGCGGGACGCGGCAUGAGCGGCGGCAGCUUCCUGAGCCUCGGCGCUUCUCUGCAGGAGCCCCCUGUGCCCGGCUCCGAGGGACGGGCGGCCCCUGAGCUCAGCGACGGCGCAGCAGCAGGGUCCAUCUUUCCCGUUUCCAGCCUGGAUAUUGAAGAGAGCCCAGGGCGUUCAGGAGCUGCUGCUUUCCUCCUCUGCCGAGUGGCCAGCCCGCUGGAGUGCUGCCUCCUGCACCAAGAGCCCUUCUCCGGGAUGAGACCCGUGUGGCAGCUGCCGGGGAAGCGGCCGUCUGGCUGAGCAGCCGCCGUCGUCCUGUGCCCCAGGAGAAGCGGCCGCAGUGACUGUCUGCUGGGAGAGCCCUGAAGAACCCUGGGCAGCCAAUGCCUGGAUAUUGAAGAGAGCCCAGGGCGUUCAGGAGCUGCUGCUUUCCUCCUCUGCCAUGCGGCCAGCCCGCUGGAGUGCUGCCUCCUGCACCAAGAGCCCUUCUCCGGGAUGAGACCCGUGUGGCAGCUGCCGGGGAACCGGCCAUCUGGCUGAGCAGCUGCCGUCGUCCUGUGCCCCAGGAGAAGCGGCCGCAGUGACUGUCUGCUGGGAGAGCCCUGAAGAACCCUGGGCAGCCAAUGAUCAAGGUCCCCGGUGGAUUCGGGCAAAAUGGAUCAAGCCACAUCAAGCCAAAGGACUUAAUGACUGUAAGAGCAACGGAAAAACAAUCUUGAGGAAAGAACCAAUUGAUCCACCCUCAAUCCAUCACCCUGUUAAAAUGUAAACCCUCUCAACUGUGCCACUGCAUAUGCUGCUGUAAAUUCCUCCAGCUACCUGUAUCAUAUUAAAAGAACUGAAGAACUUAACAAGACGGCCAAUGGAAACUUGAAAGCAAAACUGGUGUGUUUUCUACAGAUGAAGAGAUAUUUCCUGCUCACAGAUCAGCAUGCGAAAGAAGUGGAAGAAAAGUCCAAAACUACAUUCAGAAAACAAACCUCAGUGGAAGCACAGAGAACUCAUCCCUUCUCACCAGUGUGCGUCGCUCCUAGCAACACACAUCAGAUUACGUUCAUUUUGAGUUCAUGGAUUUCUGUGCUGCAUUGUUCAGUCAGGUAGCUGUUAUUGACCUUUCGUUGUAAACUCAUGGCCAUGGGUAAAAAUAGUUCUGUUUUCUUCAUGUACCUUUAAUUUUGAAAUGUGUUGCUGAAGGCUGGCUGGUCCAAAAAGAAAAAGGGGGGAAUUGAAAGCACAAAUGUGGCUUGGACCAGCCAGCCUGAAUAAAGAUGGUAGGGACAAGUUAAUGCAGCUGGCAAGCUACUUCCACUUAUCAGAAACAGAUGCUGCAAGGUACUCAGUUGGGCCCUGGGUGAUCACAGGGGCAGAAGCAGCAUAGAAGGAAGUAGCUAGCAAAGGAAGGGUGGCUUUGAGUCAACCCUGUUGGUUGUACCACUUUGCCCGUGUACGGCUCUGCACGUGCAUUACCUAGAUUCUCUACAUCUUUGACUGAAUAUAGCUUGCACUGCUCCAACAGUGGCAGAUUGCGCUGUUGGUAUUGAUCCUCAGGAGGGAGGGGAACCAGUAGAGAUUAAAGCUUCAGGCUAUUCUGCUCUCUCCCCUCCUCCAAGGUCCAACAUCCACUGCCUUAUUUGGUUGUUUGCUCGGGGCUCAGAGACCCCUCUUUGCGUGUGGUUUCAUUGGUCUUUUGUACUAUUUGUCCUACUCAUUGAGUUACAGAUUGUCUCAUGAGGUACCAAACCAAAUCUUUAUUAAAACUACAAACAGUCUGUAACAAACUACAGGGAUGAAAGAGCAGAGAACCAGGGGCUCCUCAACAGUCAGGAAAAAGCAUCAACAAGGGAGUGAAACCUGGAAGAGAAACAAACAUGCAGAGAAAGCCCCAGCAGUGGUGAGGUGAGGUCUGGCCCAGAUGAGCACAGACGGUCUCCUGCGGGGCUGUGGGUCAGGUCACUCACCUGAUUGCUGUGCUUGGAUUUCUACUCCUAAGUGCUGCUCCUCAGGGAAGCUGCUGCCACGGCCGUACUCCUGCUCAUGGCGAAUGACCUCGUAGUGAGUGAGGUGAGAGGCACCACGCAGAAAGGCAGCAAAGCUGGGAGAAGCCCCAAAGCAGCGUCAUGCCAGGCCCCGGCACACGGGGAGGAGCGUUUCAGAGCUGGGACCAAGCGGUAUCUGCCCUUUCCCCCUGGUAAACCCGGCUUCCACACACCCCCCACCUUCUGUGCCCCCCUCUCCCCAUCUGCAAGGCCAGAAGGGACAGCACAGCAACCUCAGCCUUUCAGAAGCAGAAGUGCCAGCGACCAUGUGCACAGGGCCACGAAACGUUACCUCUCUGGAGAGCGGAGGCGUCUCAUUAUAGUCUGGACAUUGACCUCCGGGCUUUUGCAGUACUUUCGAAGCUCUUUGACUGCCCUGCGUGUCUCCAACUCGCCCUGCUUUCGAUAUUCCUCCUGGGUCAGCAGGUGACGGGGGCUCGGCUCAGCCCAAACGCUCCUCCCUCUCCUGCCAGCAGAAGGGCCCCAGUCAGUGCCCGCCCAGCCGGGGCAGCGGGUCAGAGCUGGUGGCUAGAGGAGCUGAGAACGUCCCUCCGGCCUCUGCUCGUCGCUCCUGAGGGAGACUGCCAGCCCUGAACAGGAGCAGGGCACUCUCCUGCACUGUCCCAGGGACACAGCGACACAACCUCUUCCCAGACCCCACCAAAGGUGCCCCAGGUGUGUGACACAGACUCCAUCCAACAGCUCAUCCAGGCCUGAUAAUGGCUGGCAAGCAGGAGUGAGCCUGCGUGCUGACAGUCCUCACCUUUGGGCAGCAGAAGCCCAGUACAUGAUGUAAUUGAUGAUCUUGAUGCACAUUGGAAUCAGCACCACAGCCAAGGCAAUAGGAUGGAUCUGGUUGGCUGCAUAUAGCAGCGGCAGCCCCAGGAGCUGCAGGCCCCAGAUGAGAUGGAUGCUGCGCUCAUUCUCCAGUGGGCUGUACAUGUAGCUCAUGUGGAAGGUCAGCAAGCUCACAUACAGCAGGUAGCCUGUGGGAGAGCAGAAGCAUGGGGCAGGCAGCACCCAGCGGGCUCAGCUGGGCUGACAGGAGCUGCCGAGCUGCACUCUCAGGGCUGCAGGGAAUCCUGACGCCUGAUGCCACGUCCCUAUGGCCCAGCUCCCCCUUCCCAGAGCUCCCCCAGCUCAGCAGAAUCUGGGUGGGUAAAGAGAAAAGCUCUUCUUCUCUUUUCAUUGCAGUGCGUUUGUGUGGGCAGCUUUUUGUAGCAGGGGUACGGUGGUGGCUGCUGGAAGUGUCCCCUGUGCAGUUGAGGAGGUGUUUCCAUUUAAACAUAAGCAAAUCCUAUUUCCCUAUUGUGCUGAGGGAGCCCCGGCCCAGGCUGCCCAGGGAGGUUGUGGAGGCUCCUGCUCGGGUCACCUUCAAAACUCACUUGGACAUGUUCCUGUGGCCUCUGAUCGACAUGAACCUGCUUUGGCAAGGGGGGCCGGAAUAGAUCAUCUCUCAAGGUCCCUUCCAACCCUCACCGUUGUGUGAUGCUGUGAACAGCUUUGCUGCGCACCCUCAGCCAGCCAGAGCUAAAGCAGGACCCAGACCCAGCACAGCCCCGUCCCCCGCUCCCCUGCUCAGCUCCAAUCCAGCUCCUCGCUGUCGUCCCACUCACUUUCGCUCCACUGCGGCAUCUCUGACAGCAGCAAGAUCAGAGCCCCGAGGAUCAGCACGCAAACCUCAGUCGGUUCCAUGUUUCCCCCUGCAGCAGCGCCGGGCAGCUCCGCGUCUGCCACUCGCUGAGCAAGUGCCACUGGUGCAGGCGGCAGCACUGAGUGUGGCGCCGGGCUCUGUGAUGUCACAGCUGCCGAUUCUCUGGUGGGGCCCAUGCUGGGGGGUGAAGAGCAACCCCCUGAGGGGCCCCAGACGCAAGGGCAGGGGCCUGCAGCUGGGGAGGAACAAGCCCAGCACCAGCCCAGGCUGGGGGUGACCUGCUGGAGAGCAGCUGUGGGACAGGGACCCAGCAAGUGCUGGUGGGCGGCAAAUAAAGAUGAGCCAGACGCGUGGUUGAGCCCAAAGAGUCAUGGUCAACAGAGUCCAAUCCAAUUGGUGUCACAAGUGCUGUCCCCGGGGCUCAGGACGGGGGGCACUCCUCUUGAACACCUUUGUUAGUGAUCUGGAUGAGGGAAUCGGUGGCCUCACCGACUUGUCGUGUGGGACUCCACACAGCAACUUCCCACUUACGGUGAUUUCCUACCCCGCGGCAGGAUCCAUCAGUAAAACAACCGUAAUGAGCAUCUGUGGAGGAAUGGUUAAGGGAGCAUGGACAUGGAUCCCGGGGUAUAAUGUUAGGCCUGAUGGGGCAAGGCAAUCUUGCUGCCCGUUCCCGAAGGAAAACACAAAACAACCGAGGUCGUUUCAUGCGGUGCUUUAUUGAGGGCCCUAGGGACCUGAGGACUACUGUCCAAAGUCAGAGCCCCCCUUAACAGAGAUUUUCACAGGGUUUAUAUACUUUUCAGAAGAUGAUUGCUUCAUCGUACCUACGUGCUGUUUGCUAGUUUUCUUAGGGUUUAUUAUUACAUUGUACACUUUCAUGUAAUUUCUUUUAACUAUAAAUCUUACAUUUUGUCUA